rnacentral:lncRNA from 1 species
CAGGUUUUGGAGAUGUUUCAUCGUUGUUAGGAUCAUUCUGACUCCGUUCGUAUGCUGCAUUUAAAGGAAAGGCAGUUCCUGAAGCUGAAGGAGGCUGUGAACGCUGAGAUCCCCGGUGCAUUUAUAUUACUGAUUCAUAAGCUCACGAUGCGUAUUUCUGUUUCCUGAUGACAGCCUUGGGCGUGACGGCUGGUGCGCAUCGCUUGUGGAGCCACCGUUCGUACAAAGCCAAGCUGCCUCUGCGAAUCUUCCUGGCUGUAGCUAACUCCAUGGCCUUCCAGAAUGACAUCUACGAGUGGAGCCGAGACCACCGCGUGCACCACAAGUACUCGGAGACAGAUGCGGACCCACACAAUGCCCGCCGGGGCUUCUUCUUCUCCCACAUUGGCUGGCUGUUUGUGCGCAAGCACAAAGACGUCAUAGAAAAGGGAAGAAAGCUGGAUUUCACCGAUCUGCUGGAUGACCCCGUCGUCAGAUUCCAAAGAAAGUACUACAAGAGUUCAGUCGUGCUGAUGUGCUUUGUGAUCCCCACCGUUGUGCCAUGGUACCUCUGGGGAGAGAGUCUGUGGAAUGCCUACUUCCUCGCCUCCAUCCUCCGGUACACCAUCUCCCUCAACGUCACCUGGCUGGUCAACAGCGCCGCUCACAUGUAUGGCAACCGCCCUUAUGACAAGAACAUCAACCCCAGGCAGAACACCUUUGUCACUCUGGGAGCCAUCGGUGAGGGUUUCCACAAUUACCACCACACCUUCCCCUUCGACUACUCAGCCAGCGAGCUGGGCCUGAAGUUCAACCCCACCACCUGGUUCAUUGACUUCAUGUUUUGGUUGGGGUUGGUCACUGAGAGGAAACAGGCUCCCAAGGAGAUGAUCCAGGCACGCAAGGAAAGGACUGGAGAUGGCAGUGCUUGAAGAGGAACGCUUCUCUGUGCGUCAGCACCGUCGCACACUGCUCAGAGUUAUUUGCCUCUGGGUAAAAUUAGUUUUUUUCAGUUGGGCUGAAUUUAUUCCACGGGAACAGAUUCGGCUCCGGCUUUUCUUCCUUAUUAGCUGUCUUAUGUCCAAACUUCAGACUAUUAAACGUCAGAAUGUUCUAUAUUAUUUAAUAUUAGAGUUAAACUAAUUUUAGUCACUGUAGAUUAUGUCUGAAAUACGUUGUAAUUUGCUCGUUCAUGGUUAAACGUGGCAGUUUGGAGGAACUAAUUAUCCUUUCAAAGUGCAGUUAGGGGAGAAUUUGUUUCUACUAUUAAUCAAACAUGCUUUUGAGACGUGUUUCUUGCAGGGGACGGGGCAGGACAGGGCACAAUGUGCUGUUUCAGCUACAAAGCGAUGGAAAGGAACAGGAAGAGCACCAAGCAAAACAGGAUGUCAAAGAGGAGAAAUCAGCCUAAAAUUAGUUAGCUGCUAGUUGGAAAAUCUGCUUUCUUCUUUUCGUUCGCCCUGUUAGCCAAACCAACGCGCCGCUGUCUUUGCUAAAUAUGAAAACCAUUGACUGCUGAGCAGGCUUUUGUGUUGAAGAUACAGGCCAAAAUACGAACUGACGCUGUGUUGAGAUGAUUCCUUUGUUGUUGCAUACACAUUGUAAUUUGUAAAGAUAUAGAGCUCAACAGUGUCUUAAGCCAAAUGAAGCUUCAGUUUCGAUGUUUGGAGACCUGAGUUAUAUUCUAACCAGUCAUGGCCAUGAAUGCAUGCAUAUUUUAGCUCCUUUUGCACAAGAGGCCGCUAACGUUUUAUUUUCUGCCUUUGACUUGUGGGUCUUUGAAAACUGACCUUUAUCGAAGUCGGAGUCUCUACUAAUAUUUCAGCUGCAUGCAACAUCCAUUGGUUUCUGAGCAAAAUACAAGGACAGUUAUGUAGCUUCUGAACUAAACGGUUGCCUUGUUUAAAAAGGAAAAAAGAAAAAAAAAGAAGAAAAAAGAAAAAAAAGAAGAAAAAAAAAAAAAAAAGCAUGCGGAGUUAAUGGGACAUACAGCCCUUUGUGUUAGAUGUCAGCCAGUGCAGGAGAAAGGCUUCAUACUGUCGGCACUGGAGCACUUUUGAAGAUAGAGGGCGUGAUUCUCAUUUAUAAAGCAGGUCGCCGCCAUACACCUCGCUAGGGGGGUGCUCGAUUCAGGCUGCUCGGCCCCACGCCUGGAGCGCGGCAGUGGCUCGAGGUAGGUGAGACUCAGCCCAGGUAUUUUCAAGAAAGAUGUAGAGUUUAAACAAAAACAAAGAACCAACAAAACCACAGUUAAAACUCGAUUCUUUUUUUUUUUUCCUUGUUUCUCGUUUUUCAAAUGUUGCCAUAUAAUAUAAGAGUUGUCUUUAUUCUGUAUUUCAUCCAGCAGGUGUUUUAACAGUGUUAAUUUGCCAUUAAUGAUGUUAAACUCUUGAGUGUUUUACAAUAAACAGUUAUGAAUUA